AAAACUUUAAGUUAACUCAAACUAAUAAUCUUCAAAAUUAUAAAUAAAAUAAUUUUUUAAGUUUUA
rnacentral:tRNA from 1 species